ensembl:lncRNA novel transcript
CUGGCAGGAGAUGAAAGGCUGCUGCCGCCCGGUCGGAAGGACAUCGGCGCCCCCCAGGCCCGGUCCCCGCCCCAGUUCCUCGGGCCUUUCCUGCUGCCCCUGCCUGCGAGGGCCGACGACACGGAGAACAGGAUCCUGCGCCCAACCCAGGAGCAGUUGGGUGAGGAGCACCAGAAAUUCAAUGCUCCCUGGCGCUGCAUCCCCAGAGCCCUCCCAGCCUAAGAAGCCCCAUCUUUCUGUCUCCACGCAUGGAGAACUGCAGCUGUGAGGCCCAGGACCCUUAGCAGGACAUGCAGAGCUGGGCAGGGACCCAGGCUCAUGCUCCCAGCGUGGGGUGAGUUGUCUCCAGCCUGUGGAGACUGCCAUGAAGUUGAUCUGCCUCCCAGAGGGCCUGGCCCACUUGAAAUAAUUGCUCCGGCUACUGA